GGGGAAUCUUCCGCAAUGGACGAAAGUCUGACGGAGCAACGCCGCGUGAGUGAUGACGGCCUUCGGGUUGUAAAGCUCUGUUAAUCGGGACGAAUGGUUCUUGUGCGAAUAGUGCGAGGAUUUGACGGUACCGGAAUAGAAAGCCACGGCUAACUACGUGCCAGCAGCCGCGGUAAUACGUAGGUGGCAAGCGUUGUCCGGAAUUAUUGGGCGUAAAGCGCGCGCGGGCGGAUUGGUCAGUCUGUCUUAAAAGUUCGGGGCUUAACCCCGUGAUGGGAUGGAAACUGCCAAUCUAGAGUAUCGGAGAGGAAAGUGGAAUUCCUAGUGUAGCGGUGAAAUGCGUAGAUAUUAGGAAGAACACCAGUGGCGAAGGCGACUUUCUGGACGAAAACUGACGCUGAGGCGCGAAAGCCAGGGGAGCGAACGGGAUUAGAUACCCCGGUAGUCCUGGCCGUAAACGAUGGGUACUAGGUGUAGGAGGUAUCGACCCCUUCUGUGCCGGAGUUAACGCAAUAAGUACCCCGCCUGGGGAGUACGACCGCAAGGUUG
rnacentral:rRNA from 1 species